rnacentral:rRNA from 1 species
UACAAUGGAGAGUUUGAUCCUGGCUCAGGAUGAACGCUAGCGGGAGGCCUAACACAUGCAAGCCGAGCGGUAGAGUGUCUUCGGAUACUUGAGAGCGGCGUACGGGUGCGGAACACGUGUGCAACCUGCCUUUAUCUGAGGGAUAGCCUUUCGAAAGGAAGAUUAAUACCUCAUAAUAUACUGAUUGGCAUCAAUUAGUAUUGAAAGCUCCGGCGGAUAGAGAUGGGCACGCGCAAGAUUAGAUAGUUGGUGAGGUAACGGCUCACCAAGUCAAUGAUCUUUAGGGGGCCUGAGAGGGUG